rnacentral:tRNA from 1 species
UCCCUGGUGGCUCAGAUGGUAAAGAAUCCACCUGCAAUGCGGGAGACCCAGGUUCAGUCCCUGGAUAGGGAA